GCCGCGGCGAUAGCUCAGUGGGUAAAGCGCCAGACUCCGAAUCCGCGCGGGUUCGAAUCCCGCCUGUGGCA